rnacentral:rRNA from 1 species
AGCGUCCGCAGGCGGUUUUACUAAGUCUGUCGUUAAAACGUGGAGCUCAACUCCAUUUCGGCGAUGGAAACUGUAAGACUAGAGUGUGGUAGGGGCAGAGGGAAUUCCCGGUGUAGCGGUGAAAUGCGUAGAUAUCGGGAAGAACACCAGUGGCGAAGGCGCUCUGCUGGGCCAUAACUGACGCUCAUGGACGAAAGCUAGGGGAGCGAAAGGGAUUAGAUACCCCUUGU